GGGAAUUUUUUGCUACUUUAUCUAGUACAUUUAGUAACACAGUAAUCAUGACCCCUAAGAAAGUGAGCAGUGAUAGCAGCAAACCAAAUAAGAAAGUAGCGAGAGUAACUGCAGAACUUAAAAAGGAAAUUAUAGCUCAACCAGCCUCCUAGAAUAAAUUAAGUUCAUGGUCCAUGGUAUCACUGUAUUAUUAUUAUUAUUGUUACAUAUUAUGGACAGACUGACUGAGACAGAUAUGAUUACAUGGUGAAAUAAUCAGUAAUUAAUUCAUAGGUUCUUAUAAUCUAUAAUACUUUCAUUAAUUUCAUUGGUUGUAGAUUCAUUUUUAUUUAGCAUGUAUAUUAUGAAAUUGUAUAUGUUAGAAUUAAGUUAUAUGAAACGUUUUGACUGAUGUUUUGACCUGGGGGUAUUCCACAAAACAAGAUUUCUCAGUUAGUUGGAUAAAUUAAACCUGAAGUCAUGAUAGUCCAAUAACAGCUUAGGUAAGAAGCAUUCCUAUUGGACAGUCUUGACUUCUGGCUUUUAAUUUUGUGGAAUACCCUCCUGGUCAUCCACAGCAAAAGGAGUUUCACAAACACCCAAACAGGGAGAGCUGUCUACAGCUUUACAGCAGACAGAAAGUAUUACUUCAUCUACACAGCAGAGAGAUGGUUUAACUUCAGCAACAAAACACCCAACAGGAUGGGCUGGGACCACAUGUCCCUCUGGUUCCUUGACUUCCACCACUAAUGACAAUCUGAGCACCACACAGUCACCAAGUCAGAUGCUCCUUCUGCUGACGUUGGUGAUGAUUCUGUUGCUGGUGACCACUGUCAUGGUUAUCUGGAUUCUGCGAAGAAGAACCAAAACGCUGAUCAGUAACAGAAACAGACCCAGCCACCCUACCACAGAGCCUGGAGAUGAGGUGACCUACAGCACCAUGGUCUCUAAGAAACCUUCAGCUCAAAGUUCCUCUGUAGACUCCAAGGAUGAAGUGACAUACAGCUCAGUAACUCUCCAGGACAAUCAGAGUAAGAUUCACCUGUAUAACAACAGCAAAUAUGAGACUACAAUAACCUAAAGCCAUCUAUUAGGAUGUAAGUAAAACAUGAAAUGAUAAAUCUCCACCUUACCACGGUGGAGGGGUUUGUGUGUCCCAGU